rnacentral:rRNA from 1 species
GAUGAACGCUGGCGGCGUGCCUAAUACAUGCAAGUCGAGCGAACGGACGAGAAGCUUGCUUCUCUGAUGUUAGCGGCGGACGGGGGAGUAACACGUGGAUAACCUACCUAUAAGACUGGGAUAACUUCGGGAAACCGGAGCUAAUACCGGAUAAUAUUUUGAACCGCUUGGUUCAAAAGUGAAAGAAGGUUUUGCUGUCAGUUAUAGAUGGAUCCGCGCUGCAUUGGCUAGUUGGUAAGGUAACGGCUUACCAAGGGAACGAUGGAUAGCCGACCGGAGAGGGUGAUCGGCCACACUGGAACGGAGACACGGACCAGACUCCUACGGGAGGCAGCAGUCGGGAAUCUUCCGCAAUGGGCGGGAGCCUGACGGAGCCAGGCCGCGUGAGUGAUGAAGGUCUUCGGAUCGUAAAACUCUGUUAUUAGGGAAGAACAUAUGUGUAAGUAACUGUGCACAUCUUGACGGUACCUAGUCAGAAAGCCACGGCUAACUACGUG